rnacentral:rRNA from 1 species
UACGAAGGGGGCUAGCGUUGUUCGGAAUUACUGGGCGUAAAGCGCGCGCAGGCGGUUUUCCAAGUCAGUGGUGAAAGCCCGGAGCUCAACUCCGGAAUUGCCAUUGAAACUGCAAAACUUGAGUACGAGAGAGGUGAGUGGAAUUCCCAGUGUAGAGGUGAAAUUCGUAGAUAUUGGGAAGAACACCGGUGGCGAAGGCGGCUCACUGGCUCGUAACUGACGCUCAGGCGCGAUAGCGUGGGGGUCAAACAGG